rnacentral:pre_miRNA from 14 species
AUCUGGUGAUCAAGCCCAUAUACAUGCAGCUGAAAGAACCCCGGAGUGGGGAGACCCUCACUCAAGUCCCUGGAUGACAGGAUCCCCCAAGAACUCACAAGAGACC